rnacentral:rRNA from 1 species
AGAGUUUGAUCAUGGCUCAGGACGAACGCUGGCGGCGUGCCUAAUACAUGCAAGUCGAGCGGAGUUUCAAAAGCUUGCUUUUGGAAUUUAGCGGCGGACGGGUGAGUAACACGUGGGCAACCUGCCUGUAAGACUGGGAUAACUUCGGGAAACCGGAGCUAAUACCGGAUAACCCUUUCCUUCACAUGAAGGAAAGCUGAAAGACGGUUUCGGCUGUCACUUACAGAUGGGCCCGCGGCGCAUUAGCUAGUUGGUGGGGUAACGGCCCACCAAGGCGACGAUGCGUAGCCGACCUGAGAGGGUGAUCGGCCACACUGGGACUGAGACACGGCCCAGACUCCUACGGGAGGCAGCAGUAGGGAAUCUUCCGCAAUGGACGAAAGUCUGACGGAGCAACGCCGCGUGAGCGAAGAAGGCCUUCGGGUCGUAAAGCUCUGUUGUCAGGGAAGAACAAGUGCCGGAGUAACUGCCGGCACCUUGACGGUACCUGACCAGAAAGCCACGGCUAACUACGUGCCAGCAGCCGCGGUAAUACGUAGGUGGCAAGCGUUGUCCGGAAUUAUUGGGCGUAAAGCGCGCGCAGGCGGCCUCUUAAGUCUGAUGUGAAAGCCCACGGCUCAACCGUGGAGGGUCAUUGGAAACUGGGGGGCUUGAGUGCAGAAGAGGAGAGCGGAAUUCCACGUGUAGCGGUGAAAUGCGUAGAGAUGUGGAGGAACACCAGUGGCGAAGGCGGCUCUCUGGUCUGUAACUGACGCUGAGGCGCGAAAGCGUGGGGAGCGAACAGGAUUAGAUACCCUAGUAGUCC